UACAGAGGGUGCAAGCGUUAAUCGGAAUUACUGGGCGUAAAGCGUGCGUAGACGGUUAUGUAAGUCAGAUGUGAAAGCCCCGGGCUCAACCUGGGAAUUGCAUUUGAGACUGCAUAGCUAGGGUGCGGAAGAGGGAAGCGGAAUUUCCGGUGUAGCGGUGAAAUGCGUAGAUAUCGGAAGGAACACCAGUGGCGAAAGCGGCUUCCUGGUCCAGCACCGACGUUCAGGCACGAAAGCGCGGGGAGCAAACAGG
rnacentral:rRNA from 1 species